rnacentral:tRNA from 1 species
GGGCCAUUAGCUCAGUUGGUUAGAGCAGAGGACUCAUAAUCCUUUGGUCCCUGGUUCAAGUCCAGGAUGGCCCA